rnacentral:rRNA from 1 species
GGUUUAGGGCACUGGAAGGUCCCUAAACCGAAAGGGGCUCUGCCCGCCCGAGGAUGGGCCGGCGGCCGAUUAGGUAGUUGGUGGGGUAACGGCCCACCAAGCCCAUAAUCGGUACGGGCAGUGAGAGCUGGAGCCCGGAGAUGGACACUGAGACACGGGUCCAGGCCCUACGGGGCGCAGCAGGCGCGAAACCUCCGCAAUGCUCGAAAGAGCGACGGGGGGACCCCAAGUGCCGUGGUACAACCACGGCUUUUCCGGAGUGUAAGAAGCUCCGGAAAUAAGGGCUGGGCAAGGCCGGUGGCAGCCGCCGCGGUAAUACCGGCGGCCCGAGUGGUGGCCACUAUUAUUGGGCCUAAAGCGUCCGUAGCCGGGCUUGUAAGUCCCUGGCGAAAUCCCACGGCUCAACCGUGGGGCUUGCUGGGGAUACUGCAAGCCUUGGGACCGGGAGAGGCCGGGGGUACUCCUGGGGUAGGGGUGAAAUCCUAUAAUCCCAGGAGGACCGCCAGUGGCGAAGGCGCCCGGCUGGAACGGGUCCGACGGUGAGGGACGAAGGCCAGGGGAGCAAACCGGAUUAGAUACCCGGGUAGUCCUGGCUGUAAAGGAUGCGGGCUAGGUGUUGCUUGGACCUCGAGUCCAAGCAGUGCCGCAGGGAAGCCG